rnacentral:rRNA from 1 species
UACGUAGGGGGCGAGCGUUGUCCGGAUUCAUUGGGCGUAAAGCGCGCGUAGGCGGCUUCGCAAGUCGGCCGUGAAAUCUCCGGGCUCAACUCGGAGGGGUCGGGCGAGACUGCGAGGCUCGAGGUGGGCAGAGGGCAGUGGAAUUCCGGGUGUAGUGGUGGAAUGCGUAGAGGAUCCGGAGGAACACCAGUGGCGAAGGCGGCUGCCUGGGCCUGGCCUGACGCUGAGGCGCGAAAGCAUGGGGAGCGAACAGG